CAAUGCUGAAGGAUGACUGGAGAUCCCUUUGACUUGGCUACAGAUUGAGACUUCUGUCAGGAGGGGAAUUCCACAGCUCAGGGAUUACUAGAUCUUUAUGAACAACACUCUUCAAGGAAUAUACUGGUCAUCAAAAGGUAUCAAAGAGUUUUGGCUGUGGUAACUAAUAUGUCAGAGGGAGACACUGUACAGUGUUUAUUUGCAACUACUUUUCAACUUAUCCAUCUAUCGUCUACAAAAUAUGAAACAUUUCUGAAGAUGGAUCUUCACCUGAUUUCAUAAUGGAGAGCACAGGAACUGGCAUCAAACAUACUUUACAGGCUAGAUGAUUGGGUGGAUCUCGACGUAGUAAUCAUCAAAGCAAGUAUGCAGGAACGAGAACAGGAGGACUGGAUAUGCCAAUUGUCAGCUCAUCGGAGAUUAAGGUCACAUAUUGGCUCUGCUGCAUCUGUCUGAGAUACUAGCUCAAGUGGAAAGGCUACCAAAGAAAGUUAAUAAGCAUUUU